CUGGGAUUACAGGCUUGAGCCACCGCGCCCGGCCUAUUUCUACUAUUUUUUAAAAGUGAAGGCCCAGCAGCGGUGGCUCACGCCUGUAAUCCCAGC
rnacentral:miRNA from 10 species